rnacentral:rRNA from 1 species
UCCAAGUUAUAUGCUUGUCUCAAAGAUUAAGCCAUGCAUGUCUCAGUGCAAGCCGUAUUAGGGCGAUACCGCGAAUGGCUCAAUAUAUCAGUUUUGGUUCCUUAGAUCUUACUCAGUUACUUGGAUAACUGUGGUAAUUCUAGAGCUAAUACAUGCAAUCAGAACUCUGACCAGUGAUGGGACGAGUGCUUUUAUUAGAUCAAAACCAAUCGACGGAGGGCCUCGCGUUCGAAGUCGUUAAUUUUGAUGAAUCUGGAUAACUUUUGCCGAUCGCACGGUCCAGCACCGGCGACGCAUCUUUCAAAUGUCUGCCUUAUCAACUUUCGAUGGUAGUUUCUGCGACUACCAUGGUUGUCACGGGUAACGGGGAAUCAGGGUUCGAUUCCGGAGAGGGAGCCUGAGAAACGGCUACCACAUCCAAGGAAGGCAGCAGGCGCGCAAAUUACCCACUCCCGGCACGGGGAGGUAGUGACGAAAAAUAACGAUACGGGACUCUUACGAGGCCUCGUAAUCGGAAUGAGUACACUUUAAAUAUUUUAACGAGGAACAAUUGGAGGGCAAGUCUGGUGCCAGCAGCCGCGGUAAUUCCAGCUCCAAUAGCGUAUACUAAAAUUGUUGCGGUUAAAAAGCUCGUAGUUGCAUUUGUGCGCCGCGCUGUCGGUGCACCGCAUCCGCGGUGAUACUGACACGUUUGCGGAGCAUAUCGUCGGUGAGCCGACGGUCAAACGUCGGUUCAAUAUCAAAAUCCUAUCGCGGUGCUCUUCAGUGAGUGUCGAGAUGGGCCGACAAUUUUACUUUGAACAAAUUAGAGUGCUCAAAGCGGGCUCAAAAUGCUGCUUGAAUAUUUCGUGCAUGGAAUAAUAGAAUAUGAUCUCGGUUCUAUUUUGUUGGUUUUCAGAACUCCGAGGUAAUGAUUAAUAGGGAUAACUGGGGGCAUUCGUAUUGCGACGUUAGAGGUGAAAUUCUUGGAUCGUCGCAAGACGAACAUCAGCGAAAGCAUUUGCCAAAGGUGUUUUCAUCAAUCAAGAACGAAAGUUAGAGGUUCGAAGGCGAUUAGAUACCGCCCUAGUUCUAACCGUAAAUAUGUCAUCUAGCGAUCCGCCGACGUUACUACAAUGGCUCGGCGGGCAGCUUUCGGGAAACCAAAGAUUUUGGACUCCGGGGGGAGUAUGGUUGCAAAGCUGAAACUUAAAGGAAUUGACGGAAGGGCACCACCAGGAGUGGCCUGCGGCUUAAUUUGACGCAACACGCCAACACGGGAAAUCUCACCAGGCCCGGACAGGAAAUCUCACCAGGCCCGGACACCGGAAGGCCGGAAGGAUUGACAGAUUAACAGCUCUUUCUUGAUUCGGUGGGUGGUGGUGCAUGGCCGUUCUUAGUUGGUGGAGCGAUUUGUCUGGUUAAUUCCGGUAACGAACGAGACUCUAGCCUGCUAAAUAGGCGUCGUCAUUUAGGUGUGCGUGGCUCACGUCACGCAACUCACUGGCGACGUAUUAAAAUUCUUCUUAGAGGGACCGGCGGCUUCGAGCCGCACGAGAUUGAGCAAUAACAGGUCUGUGAUGCCCUUAGAUGUCCUGGGCCGCACGCGCGCUACACUGAAGGAAUCAGCAUGUUCUCCCAGGCCUAGAGGCCCGGGCAACCCGUUGAAACUCCUUCGUGCUGGGGAUUGGGGUUUGCAAUUAUCCCCCAUAAACGAGGAAUUCCUAGUAAGCGCGAGUCAUAAGCUCGCGUUGAUUACGUCCCUGCCCUUUGUACACACCGCCCGUCGCUACUACCGAUUGAAUGAUUUAGUGAGGUCUUCGGACCGACACGCGGUGGCUUCACGGCCGUCGGCGUUGCUGGGAAGUUGACCAAACUUGAUCAUUUAGAGGAAGUAAAAGUCGUAACAAGGUUUCCGUAGGGGAACCUGCGGAAG